rnacentral:rRNA from 1 species
GAUGAACGCUGGCGGCGUGCUUAACACAUGCAAGUCGAACGAAGCAUUUAGAACAGAUUAUUUCGGUAUGAAGUUCUUUAUGACUGAGUGGCGGACGGGUGAGUAACGCGUGGGUAACCUGCCUUGUACUGGGGGAUAGCAGCUGGAAACGGCUGGUAAUACCGCAUAAGCGCACGGUGCUGCAUGGCACAGUGUGAAAAACUCCGGUGGUAUAAGAUGGACCCGCGUCUGAUUAGCUAGUUGGUGAGAUAACAGCCCACCAAGGCGACGAUCAGUAGCCGACCUGAGAGGGUGACCGGCCACAUUGGGACUGAGACACGGCCCAGACUCCUACGGGAGGCAGCAGUGGGGAAUAUUGCACAAUGGAGGAAACUCUGAUGCAGCGACGCCGCGUGAGUGAAGAAGUAAUUCGUUAUGUAAAGCUCUAUCAACAGGGAAGAUAGUGACGGUGCCUGACUAAGAAGCUCCGGCUAAAUACGUGCCAGCAGCCGCCGUAA